AUCCGUGCAGAGAUUUUGUCAGACACCAGCCCAUUGGGGCUGAUAAAACUUCCAAGAU
rnacentral:pre_miRNA from 1 species